GCAUCGGUGGUUCAGUGGUAGAAUGCUUGCCUGCCACGCGGGCGGCCCAAGUUCGUUUCCGGGCCGAUGCA
rnacentral:tRNA from 1 species